CCCGCACAAGCGGUGGAUGAUGUGGAUUAAUUCGAUGCAACGCGAAGAACCUUACCUACCCUUGACAUGUCCGGAACUUGCCAGAGAUGGCUUGGUGCCCGAAAGGGAAUCGGAACACAGGUGCUGCAUGGCUGUCGUCAGCUCGUGUCGUGAGAUGUUGGGUUAAGUCCCGCAACGAGCGCAACCCUUAUCAUUAGUUGCUACGCAAGGGCACUCUAAUGAGACUGCCGGUGACAAACCGGAGGAAGGUGGGGAUGACGUCAAGUCCUCAUGGCCCUUAUGGGUAGGGCUUCACACGUCAUACAAUGGUCGGUACAGAGGGUUGCCAAGCCGCGAGGCGGAGCCAAUCCCACAAAGCCGAUCGUAGUCCGGAUUGUUCUCUGCAACUCGAGAGCAUGAAGUCGGAAUCGCUAGUAAUCGCAGGUCAGCAUACUGCGGUGAAUACGUUCCCGGGUCUU
rnacentral:rRNA from 1 species